GAUUAACGCUGGCGGCGUGCCUUAUGCAUGCAAGUCGAACGGUUCUGAUUUAUCAGAGCAGUGGCAGACGGGUGAGUAACGCAUAGGUAACCUACCCUCAAGUAUGGAAUAGCUCGGAGAAAUCCUAGGUAAUGCUGUAUGUGAUACCCUCUCGUAAGAGGGGUUAUUAAAGUCGUAAGAGCGCUUGAGGAGGGGCCUGUGUAGGAUUAGCUAGUUGGUGAGGUAAUGGCCCACCAAGGCGAUGAUCUUUAGCUGGUUUGAGAGGACGACCAGCCCCACUGGGACUGAGACACGGCACAGACUCCUACGGGAGGCAGCAGCAAGGAAUUCUGGGCAAUGGGCGAAAGCCUGACCCAGCGACGCCGCGUGAGGGAUGACGGCCUUCGGGUUGUAAACCUCUUUUCCUAGGGAAGAACAAUGACGGUACCUGGGGAAUAAGCCACGGCUAACUACGUGCCAGCCGCCGCCGUAAGAC
rnacentral:rRNA from 1 species